CCUGAUGUUAGCGGCGGACGGGUGAGUAACACGUGGGUAACCUGCCUGUAAGACUGGGAUAACUCCGGGAAACCGGGGCUAAUACCGGAUGGUUGUUUGAACCGCAUGGUUCAAACAUAAAAGGUGGCUUCGGCUACCACUUACAGAUGGACCCGCGGCGCAUUAGCUAGUUGGUGAGGUAACGGCUCACCAAGGCAACGAUGCGUAGCCGACCUGAGAGGGUGAUCGGCCACACUGGGACUGAGACACGGCCCAGACUCCUACGGGAGGCAGCAGUAGGGAAUCUUCCGCAAUGGACGAAAGUCUGACGGAGCAACGCCGCGUGAGUGAUGAAGGUUUUCGGAUCGUAAAGCUCUGUUGUUAGGGAAGAACAAGUACCGUUCGAAUAGGGCGGUACCUUGACGGUACCUAACCAGAAAGCCACGGCUAACUACGUGCCAGCAGCCGCGGUAAUACGUAGGUGGCAAGCGUUGUCCGGAAUUAUUGGGCGUAAAGGGCUCGCAGGCGGUUUCUUAAGUCUGAUGUGAAAGCCCCCGGCUCAACCGGGGAGGGUCAUUGGAAACUGGGGAACUUGAGUGCAGAAGAGGAGAGUGGAAUUCCACGUGUAGCGGUGAAAUGCGUAGAGAUGUGGAGGAACACCAGUGGCGAAGGCGACUCUCUGGUCUGUAACUGACGCUGAGGAGCGAAAGCGUGGGGAGCGAACAGGAUUAGAUACCCUGGUAGUCCACGCCGUAAACGAUGAGUGCUAAGUGUUAGGGGGUUUCCGCCCCUUAGUGCUGCAGCUAACGCAUUAAGCACUCC
rnacentral:rRNA from 1 species